CACCCUUUUAAGCCUUAGCCCCAACCAUCUCUUUAAGAACUCCCAUGUAAACAAAUGGCCAACCGUCAGCAUGGUUAAUCAUGGUUAGGGAGGAUAAUAUCUGUCUCUACACCAGUUAGAGGAGGAGGUGAUUAACACGGUCUCUACACCAGUUAGAGGAGGAGGCGGUGAUUAACAAUGUCUCUAUACCAGUUAGAGGAGGAGGAGGUGAUUAACACUGUCUCUAUACCAGUUAGAGGAGGAGGUGAUUAACACUGUCUCUAUACCAGUUAGAGGAGGAGGUGAUUAA
rnacentral:lncRNA from 13 species